GCCUGGGUGGCUCAGUCGGUUGAGCGUCCGACUUUGGCUCAGGUCAUGAUCUCACAGUCUGUGAGUUUAAGCCCCGCUUCAGGCU
rnacentral:tRNA from 1 species